CUUAAAGCUGGUGAAUCACUAGCAGCCACUAGCCAGGGCGUGUUAGGGUGUCAGGCGGGAAGGGAGCAGCCAGCUCCUCGUGGACCUCCCCUACUUCUGCCACCCCCAACUUUACCAUCACUGUGUGACCUCCCCAGCCUCUGGAGCCUCGGUGACACUAGCUGGAAAAGGACCUAGCCCUGGGUACAGAUCUCACAGGGGCAACAGAUGCCAAUUUGGAGGAUGGACCAGGUACAGGGGAGAGGCUCACUCUGAAGGAGGACUUCCCAGAAGAGGUGACAUUUCAAAGCAGCCUUCAAGGAUGUUUUGCCCAAGGGUGUCCCACUGAUGAAGGUCACCUUUGAGAAUGAAAGGAAGUGCUAUUAAUUAUGCUGGGGGGCCGGCCGAGUGGCACGUUGGUUAGGAG